GAUGAACGCUGGCGGCGUGCCUAAUACAUGCAAGUCGAGCGAACAGACGAGGAGCUUGCUCCUCUGACGUUAGCGGCGGACGGGUGAGUAACACGUGGAUAACCUACCUAUAAGACUGGGAUAACUUCGGGAAACCGGAGCUAAUACCGGAUAAUAUAUUGAACCGCAUGGUUCAAUAGUGAAAGACGGUUUUGCUGUCACUUAUAGAUGGAUCCGCGCCGCAUUAGCUAGUUGGUAAGGUAACGGCUUACCAAGGCAACGAUGCGUAGCCGACCUGAGAGGCUGUCCGCCCAACGGGUAGUUAGGACCCGCACCAUCAUCGCCCGGUGGCCAGAGAUUAGAAUGCUUCACAAGUGGAGGAAGGCUGACAGAGUCAUAACAGGUUGGAUAUGAAAGUGUUGCGAUACCAAAAUUCUGUUAAUGAGGGAAGAAAAAAUGUUCAUGAACUAUGCACGUCUUGACGGUACCUAAUCAGAGAGCCACGGCUAACUACGUG
rnacentral:rRNA from 1 species